rnacentral:lncRNA from 1 species
GGAAGGAGGGCCCUUCUUUCCUAGUAAGGACCAACGGAAUCAACACUCCAGCUAUGGUAAACCUGUGGACGGUCAAACCCCCAUAGUCCUGGAAGGCAAGCAUAAUGUCCAGGACGGGAGAGCAAACAAACACACGUCACACACCGAGAAGGAAAGCAACAGUCAUCCUCCUCCAGGAGGGAAACCUUUUUUAUACCUUGAGUUAUACCGCAUUUUGAGCCCCGGAAUUCGAAAGACGACUGUAUGAGUCAACUAGUGUAUAUAAAAGAGAGAAAGAGAAUAAAAGCAACAAAAAAAUAACAAAAUGAACACAAAAUUUAAAAAAAGUUUAAAAAUAAAU